UACGGAGGGUGCAAGCGUUAUCCGGAUUCACUGGGUUUAAAGGAUGCGUAGGAGGGCAGGUAAGUCAGUGGUGAAAUCUCCAAGCUUAACUUGGAACUGCCGUUGAUACUAUCUGUCUUGAAUAUUGUGGAGGUGAGCGGAAUAUGUCAUGUAGCGGUGAAAUGCUUAGAUAUGACAUAGAACACCAAUUGCGAAGGCAGCUCACUACACAAUCAUUGACUCUGAGGCACGAAAGCGUGGGGAUCAAACAGG
rnacentral:rRNA from 1 species